AGCAGUAGCCGCGGGAAUACGAAGGGGGCUAGCGUUGUUCGGAAUUACUGGGCGUAAAGCGCACGUAGGCGGACAUUUAAGUCAGGGGUGAAAUCCCGGGGCUCAACCCCGGAACUGCCUUUGAUACUGGGUGUCUAGAGUAUGGAAGAGGUGAGUGGAAUUCCGAGUGUAGAGGUGAAAUUCGUAGAUAUUCGGAGGAACACCAGUGGCGAAGGCGGCUCACUGGUCCAUUACUGACGCUGAGGUGCGAAAGCGUGGGGAGCAAACAGGAUUAGAUACCCGCGUAGUCCCUGUCUCUUAUAC
rnacentral:rRNA from 1 species